AUGGUCUCGAUCUCCUGACCUCGUGAACCACCCACCUCAGCCUCCCAAAGUGCUGGGAUUACAGGCGUGAGCCACCACGCCUGGUCAGGAAGCCCACUUUCUCCACGUGGAUUCCAGCCACGCCCAGGCUCACCCAGGCAGCCCACAACCAUGGCAGGCCUGGCCUUAAGCCUCGAGGCCAGCACCACCCAGGAGCUGGAGAGAAAGCAGAGGCUCUGGACCUGGGGAACGAGGCCACUGGGGAGAGGCUGGUGCAGCAGUGACAUCCACACCUGGGUCGGCCAUGCAGAGCCCAUCCCCCACCCCCACUGCUUCUGCAUCUCUUGGACCUCAGGUGAAAACUGCCUGGGGCUGUCACAGAGGCUCCUCCCUGCUGCUGGGACUGGGGAUCGGCACAACUCUUCUGGGGCACUGUGGCCCUAAAAGACACAUUCCCUUGACUGAGCGAUUUGGAAAUUAAUCCAAAGAAAAUCAUAAGGAAUGUGAAAAGUUUUACCUUCAAGAGUAUUCACAGUUGAUAACAGUUGAAAAAUUGUUAUGACGUAAAUGUCCAGCAAUAGACAUUGUUUUAAACGUAUGAAACAAUGGCAUGCUCCAAAAUCAUUAACAUGAUGGAGAAACCACAGGACGCAGGACAAGCUGCUGGGUGGAAAACACCGACAGGUGCUGUGGAAAAUCACACAGGGCACGUUGCGGGGGCGCUGGGAGGCACGAGCAGGGUGCGCUCUCCAGGGAACUCGUGGGUUUUUAAUUUUCUUUAACUUACUUGAAUUUUCUGAUUUUCCUACAGCAAAUACCUAUGACUUAUUUUGCCACACUAAGUGUUCUCAGAGCAGGCAGGAGGUAUAUAAGUGAUGCUAAGAAGUCAUAAAUGAAUGUUUACAAAGGCAGCAAUGAAACCCAGGAGGGCCCCGGAGUGCAGGCCCGCCCGCUUGACCCACCUUCGCACGUGUAGGAGCCGUUGGCAUUUUUACAGAACUGUUCGGCGCUGCAGGGAGGUGUCUCGGCCGCACACUCGUCCACAUCUGGAACAGAAUGGCACAGCUAGGGAUACAGCUGGCCCCCUGCCGGCGGCCUCCCUCCCAGGAACACACUCAGGUGAGUUCCCAGGCGCUGUCGGCCGACUUGGGGCAGCUGGCACCACAGGUCCACAGCUCCAGGGCCACCUGAGAGCAAGGACACGGUGGCCCCGAUGCCUGCCCAGUCCAGAAGGUACGAAGAAAGUCCCAUGAUCUUUCCUGAUCCGUGCAUGGUGGGAUCACAGGUGUGGGAGCCUAGGGGUCCACUGAACGAUCCCCUUCCCAUGACCCAGAAUGAGCAGAGAUGGGGAGGGCUGUGAACCAGGAGCAGCUGGCGGGACGGGGACGCAGAGGCUGGGCAGAAGUGGACCUUGGGGAGCCCCCACCCCCCAACCCCUCCUCACCCACGCAGGCGCCCUCGUCCACCCCCGGGCCGCUCCUCACCCACGCAGGCGCCCUCGUCCACCCCCGGACCCCUCCUCACCCACGCAGGCGCCCUCCUCCACCCCCGGACCCCUCCUCACCCACGCA